CCUACGGGAGGCAGCAGUGAGGAAUAUUGGUCAAUGGGCGCGAGCCUGAACCAGCCAAGUAGCGUGAAGGAUGACUGCCCUACGGGUUGUAAACUUCUUUUAUAAAGGAAUAAAGUGAGGCACGUGUGCCUUUCUGUAUGUACUUUAUGAAUAAGGAUCGGCUAACUCCGUGCCAGCAGCCGCGGUAAUACGGAGGAUCCGAGCGUUAUCCGGAUUUAUUGGGUUUAAAGGGAGCGUAGAUGGGUUGUUAAGUCAGUUGUGAAAGUUUGCGGCUCAACCGUAAAAUUGCCAUUGAUACUGGCAGUCUUGAGUGCAGUUGAGGUAGGCGGAAUUCGUGGUGUAGCGGUGAAAUGCUUAGAUAUCACACAGAACUCCGAUUGCGAAGGCAGCUUACUAAGCUGCCACUGACAUUGAUGCUCGAAAGUGUGGGUAGCAAACAGGAUUAGAUACCCCUGUAGUC
rnacentral:rRNA from 1 species